rnacentral:misc_RNA from 1 species
GCUCCUACCGAUUGAGUGAUCCGGUGAAUUAUUCGGACUGACGCAGUGCUCAGCUUCCGGACGUUGCGUUGGAAAGUUUCAUGAACCUUAUCACUUAGAGGAAGUAAAAGUCGUAACAAGGUUUCCGUAGGUGAACCUGCAGAAGGAUCAAUUUCGGAUGAGCGUCGUGUAGGGUAAGAGUCUAUCUCUCGGUGGUCGCCGUAUCUUUUUUUAACCCUUUCUUUCUUCUCUCCUCUUUCUCCUUUUUUUUUCCUCUUCUUUUCUUCCUCUUUUUUCC